GGGAAUUUUCCGCAAUGGGCGAAAGCCUGACGAAGCAAUGCCGCGUGGAGGUGGAAGGCCUACGGGUCGUCAACUUCUUUUCUCGGAGAAGAAACAAUGACGGUAUCUGAGGAAUAAGCAUCGGCUAACUCUGUGCCAG
rnacentral:rRNA from 1 species